UGGUUCGGCAACAGGCUUCGGCCAUUCUUGCCCGCUGCUUCCCCUGACUUCCUGUCAUGUCUCACCGCAAAGGGUUUGACUUGCAACACCUUCCAAAGCAGUGUGCAGAUUUUGAGUGGUGUACAGCCACAGAUGACCCUCAACACGCAGGUGUUUGUCUACACAUACUUCAUUAAAGUUUUCUUUACCACCAACAACACCACAGACCCCAGCUGCAGAUCAAGCACAAACAGCAGUGUUGAAUGGCUGCAGAAGAACCUGGGAGGUUUCUCUUACCUUAUACCCAUCCAGGAAAUACAGAUAUUCUACCCCAGCUUU